rnacentral:rRNA from 1 species
AUUGAACGCUGGCGGCAGGCCUAACACAUGCAAGUCGAACGCGUGGCGGACGGGUGAGUAAUGUCUGUGAAACUGCCUGAUGGCGGGGGAUAACUACUGGAAACGGUAGCUAAUACCGCAUACCAUCGAAUGUUACCAGAUGGGAUGAUCUAGUAGGUGGGGUAAAGGCUAACCUAGGCGACGAUCCCUAGCUGGUCUGAGAGGAUGACCAGCCACACUGGAACUGAGACACGGUCCAGACGCCUACGGUAGGCAGCAGUGGGGAAUAUUGCACAAUGGGCGCAAGCCUGAUGCAGCCAUGCCGCGUGUAUGAAGAAGGCCUUCGGGUUGUAAAGUACUGUCAGCGGGGAGGCGUUACCCGCAGAAGAAGCACCGGCUAACUCCGUGCCAGCAGCCGCGGUAAUUC